AGAUGUACACACUGUGUGAGAUUGUGAAUCACAUGGGCAGCCUUAAAGGAGGACACUACACAGCCACCAUCCUGUCCAAAGAGGACACCUGGUGUGAGUUUAAUGACAGUCACGUCAGAAAGCUUGAGGAACAACCAUUUGCAAACUCUCAGACUUACAAUUCCAGCACUGCAUAUCUGCUUGUGUACA